rfam:Strongylocentrotus purpuratus Contig124888_fixed, whole genome shotgun sequence.
GCGAUAGCUCAGUCGGUAGAGCAGUGGUUUCGUAAUCCGGUGACCUGGGUUCGAAACCUAGUCUAUGCG